rnacentral:rRNA from 1 species
CAACAGACUUACACAUGCAAGCAUCCACGCCCCGGUGAGUAACGCCCUCCAAAUCAAUAAGACUAAGAGGAGCAGGUAUCAAGCACACAUCUUGUAGCUUACAACGCCUCGCUUAACCACACCCCUACGGGAGACAGCAGUGACAAAAAUUAAGCCAUAAACGAAAGUUUGACUAAGCCAUGUUGACCAGGGUUGGUAAAUCUCGUGCCAGCCACCGCGGUCAUACGAUUAACCCAAGCUAACAGG